CCCCGGGGGGUCCUCUGUGCGCCCCCCCGGGUCGACCCCGCGCUGUCGCAGAGCUGUUGGGAGCCCUCCCGAAGCCCGGGGCCCCGAGGUCGCGCAGCAGGGGCUCCCCUCCCUCCCGUCGGGUCCGAGAGCCGGGGUCCCCCCCCCCAUUCGCUUCUCCUUGUCCGGGGCCGUCAGAGCCGGAGAUUGAGCCGUGCAGCAGCUUGCGGCCCAGGGCAGGGCAGGGCAGGGCAGGGCAGGGACAGCUUGCGGGCUGCGGGCUCUCCGGGCCUGGGUUUUCCCCAUCAACACCCCCAUCAGCAAAGGGGUCCCGGGCCCCUGGGGCCCCACCUACGGCCCUACCUACGGCCCUUCCAAGCUGUCGACCUAGGUCUGGGGCUUGCAUAAAGAGGCCUCGUCCUCCUCACCCGCUCCUGCAAGCUCCUCCUCUGGAAGGGAGGCCCGGGUGACUCCUGGAACCCUUGGUGCCCGGUCCUGAGAGGUCCGAAACUUCACCCGCGAGUUCUCCCGGGUUUCCACCCGAGGCCCAACACAUCACUGCGGAGCCGGCUUCCCCGUCGGGGCCAAGGGCUCACUUACAGGCCUCUCCAAAAGGGCAAGUUCUACUCUUCAUCAGAGUUUAAGGAUGGAAGGUAUGGAAGGUGAUAAUCCAGAAGAGGGCCCCCCUGGAGGCAGAGAUGCCUAAGAUGCUGGUCCUUGGAGCCAGACACCUAGCUUUGAACCCCAGGUCUACUACAUCCCAGCUCGGUGACCUCAGGCCGAAUUCACAAUCUUUGUGGAGUUGUGGUAUGCUUUUGGUGGAUCAGUUUUCUGACAUCACUUGGAUUUCCCAGUUUCCUCCAAGUCCUUGAAGAAACUUUUUCCAGGACCCUGGGAAUUAGAAUGGGCAAUGCAGAGACCAACCCCCAGAAGAAAGAUGUGUGAAGCUGAUGAAUUCUGAUGGUGGUUCACCUGAUCCCCAGAGCUGUGCGAUUUCCAUUCCUUCCAGAGAAUUUUCCAGACUCAGCAACAUUCAACAGACUGGUGAAGUGACUCAAGCUAAGUUCAGGCUUCAUUGUCUGAUUCCCUUGAUCAACUCAAUUAAUAACACUAAGCCUCAAGAUCCUUGGUGGGAUACCUAAAGUGGGACCAAUGAUAGCGUCUACAGACUAGCUGAAUAAAGCUUAAAUGAACAAACACGUGGAUAAGGAUCAUAGAGACAUUCAAAAUAUUGUCAUUCUCUUCUCCUUUUGAUGCCAUACACGGUGAAUUCCAUGGGAAGGACAGAAAGAAGAUCCAUGAACUUCUCAGUUGCACUGACCCUGCUACCAUUCUAAAACUGAGGAAAGCAAUCAGAAAACUUCACAUCCCUGUGGGAGAGGAAAAGUCACGAAAUUGGGCUAGCCAAAACUCUUCAUACAAAGACAUUGGAGCAAAUAAUAGUCAUCCCUGACUAAGAUCUGAUGUGUACAAUGGAGGUAACCUGGUCAGUAUUGGUUCUGGGCAUGACUAAAGGUGCCAUCCUGCCUAGCCAUGGCAUCAUUAUUGAUGUUUCUGCUCUGAGUUCCCUGACCCAACACGCCACUACUGCACUUAGCAAGAUGGCCCUCCUUUAGAGAACUCCUGCCUAGUUCAUCCAUAAAUUCACAUUCUGCCUUAGUCCCUGCUACCCCACCAGAUGAAAAUAAAACCAAAUGUUUGCCAUCCUGAUCUACCAUCCCUCCACUCUGGGUAUGCUAGACUCUCCAUUGCUAGAGUCUUAGGAUAGUUUUCUGAAGAAGUUGAGAAGCAACAAAUCAAAGGGCUAUUUACUCCCUUUCUGGAAACAAAUGGCAUUUGGUGAAGUCUGGUGAUAAUCCUAAUGGGCUCCUGGCAGGGGGCCUAAGCUCUGUGGUGUGGAGCUUCCUUGCAUUGAGACAGUAAGGCAGAGAUCCUUGCUGUACUGUUGCCUGCUCUCACAUAAGAAGGAGUGUUGGUGGUAUUGGACUUUGAAACUCAAAGCAGAACACCCUAUCGUUUUGAGUCCAGCAGUGAGAAACUUGGGCCAGGCAGAGAUGCCACAGCCCCCACUGGUACCUAGCACAGUGCCCUGGGACUUCUAGGGUUUCUUCUUGGCACCUAAUAGAGAAGGAGAGGCUGAUGUUGAUCAGCUUCUUCACGCCCAGGUGAACUCUGAAACAAGGUAUACAAGUUUUCUAUAUUCUGGUGUAGCUUUAGGUAGGGUUAAUGAUAUGGAGGGAAAAAAAACAAACACAAUACAUUUGAUUGAAAUUCACAUUGCUUCAGUAUGAAUUCUGGCCUUGAUGCUUAUAAAAAUGGAUCUAGCAUGAAUUAUUUGCUGUCUCUGAGCCUCAGUUUUCUUACCUAUAAAAUAGUAAUAUUUUUUGUUUUUUUUUUAAUUUAAAAAAUUUUUUUAAAUAGUAAUAUUAACAUCAAUUUUAUAGCUGGUGUUCAAAGAUUAAGCAUUGAAUAGUGUCUGAGGCAUAGUGGACUAUCAAUGUAUGUUUGUGCCUUUUCUUUUUUCCCUCUAAAACAGGUAUAACUAAGUGCUUUUGAUCUUAUGUCUCUCAGAGCUUAUCAGAAAUCACUAUGGCUCUCAGCAUAUUAUAAUGUUCUUUCACAUAGAUUUUUUUUCUUUUUUUUUUUAAGUCAAUUGAAAGAGGUUUAAUAAAAAGAUGAAUGUACAUAAUUUAUAAAUGGCAUCUCAGAAGUCAGGAUCAUUGCCCAAAAAAAAUCAGUUGAAAGCAGAAUACUGAAGCCUAAUACAUUUGCAUGACAUUUAACAAUUGUUUUGCAUACAAAAAAGAAACAUGAAGAAAAGGGAAUACUUUUGGUAAAUUGAACACCAAUAAAAAAUAAAUUUAUUAAAAAAAAAAA